rnacentral:rRNA from 1 species
CUCGUAGGUGGCCAACUAAGUCAGACGUGAAAUCCCUCGGCUUAACCGGGGAACUGCGUCUGAUACUGGAUGGCUUGAGUUUGGGAGAGGGACGCGGAAUUCCAGGUGUAGCGGUGAAAUGCGUAGAUAUCUGGAGGAACACCGGUGGCGAAGGCGGCGUCCUGGACCAAUACUGACACUGAGGAGCGAAAGCCAGGGGAGCAAACG